rnacentral:rRNA from 1 species
GACGAACGCUGGCGGCGUGCUUAACACAUGCAAGUCGAACGGAAAGGCCCUGCUUUUGUGGGGUUCUCGAGUGGCGAACGGGUGAGUAACACGUGAGUAACCUGCCCUGGACUUUGGGAUAACUUCAGGAAACUGGGGCUAAUACCGGAUAGGAGCUCCUGCUGCAUGGUGGGGGUUGGAAAGUUUCGGCGGUUGGGGAUGGACUCGCGGCUUAUCAGCUUGUUGGUGGGGUAGUGGCUUACCAAGGCUUUGACGGGUAGCCGGCCUGAGAGGGUGAACGGCCACAUUGGGACUGAGAUACGGACCAGACUCCUACGGGAGGCAGCAGUGGGGAAUAUUGCACAAUGGGCGGAAGCCUGUUGCAGCAACGCCGCGUGCGGGAUGACGGCCUUCGUGUUGUAAACCGCUUUAGCCUGUGACGAAGCGUGAGUGACGGUAAUGGGUAAAGAAGCACCGGCUAACUACGUG